UGGGGAAUAUUGCGCAAUGGGGGAAACCCUGACGCAGCCAUGCCGCGUGAGUGAAGAAGGUCUUCGGAUCGUAAAGCUCUUUCAACGGUGAAGAUGAUGACGGUAGCCGUAGAAGAAGCCCCGGCUAACUUCGUGCCAGCAGCCGCGGUAAUACGGAGGGUGCGAGCGUUAAUCGGAAUUAUUGGGCGUAAAGAGCUCGUAGGCGGUCCGUUGCGUCUGCCGUGAAAACCCGGAGCUCAACUCCGGGCCUGCGGUGGAUACGGGCGGACUAGAGUCCGGUAGGGGAGACUGGAAUUCCUGGUGUAGCGGUGGAAUGCGCAGAUAUCAGGAGGAACACCGGUGGCGAAGGCGGGUCUCUGGGCCGGAACUGACGCUGAGGAGCGAAAGCGUGGGGAGCGAACAGGAUUAGAUACCCUGGUAGUCCACGCCGUAAACGGUGGGCGCUAGGUGU
rnacentral:rRNA from 1 species